GAGUUGCUUGAGUCACAUUUUUGCAUGGUUCUUGAUUGACUUUCUGGUGCUCUGCCUGGAGGUCUUUGCUUAUCUGUGAGUUGCCUGAGUCACAUUUUUACAUGGUUCUGGUGCUCUGCCUGCAGGUCAAGAAGGAGCCAGUAUCUCCAGGAGGAGUGAGAGAGUGCUCUGCCAGUGUGAAGUGUGAAUCCUUGAGAGGCUGUGGCAAGGGUCCAUGCCUGAAUGUGUAGAACAAGAACAGCUGGAGGCUGUGGCUUUCUCCAGGAAGAGGUUUCUAAAUCUGCCUCUUAGAAGAUAUCAGAAAGUUAAAGUUUCUCUUGCUGCCGCCGUGUAAGAAGGACCUUUUGCCUCCCACCAUGAUUCUAAGUCCUCCCCAGCCACGUGGAACUAUAUCAGGUGGCUUCUUCAAAUGAUUUUUAAGUAUCUCGAUGAUGAUGAAGAACAAAGACAUCAAUCAGGAUUCAGGAAGACAGCUUUUGCGGAAAAUGCUUAAAGGGAAGCAUCAAGGAUUGGUGUUGAUAUUUGAAAGUUUAAGAGUGGUAUACUUUUAUUCAGUCAACACAUGACAAAUGUAAAAGGCACUCAUUUGUUGUUCCUGGAAGAAGCCUGGCAGCAUUCCAUUCAGACAUCUGCCCUUUCAUCGUCCCACUUUUUACUUAUUGCAGUCCUUUCAGUCUGAAUAUUUCCUCCUGACGCAUCUUCUGCCGUCCGAAAUGACUCCCUGCUCCCAGAUCCUGUAGCCCUUAUUAUUGACACCUUUCAUUUAGAAAUUUAGCACAUGUCACAUUACACCAUUAUUGAAUAAAUAAUGAAUAAAUAAAUAAAUAAAGAUGUAUGUCCUUCCCAAGUAUA
ensembl:lncRNA LINC02384 long intergenic non-protein coding RNA 2384